UGAAGCGGCAAAAGCUCAAAUUUGAAAUCUAGCACUUUCAGUGUUCGAGUUGUAAUUUGAAGAAGGUAACUUUGGAAUUGGCUCUUGUCUAUGUUCCUUGGAACAGGACGUCACAGAGGGUGAGAAUCCCGUGCGAUGAGAUGUCCAAUUCUAUGUAAAGUGCUUUCGAAGAGUCGAGUUGUUUGGGAAUGCAGCUCUAAGUGGGUGGUAAAUUCCAUCUAAAGCUAAAUAUUGGCGAGAGACCGAUAGCGAACAAGUACAGUGAUGGAAAGAUGAAAAGAACUUUGAAAAGAGAGUGAAAAAGUACGUGAAAUUGUUGAAAGGGAAGGGCUUGAGAUCAGACUUGGUAUUUUGCGUUCCCUUCCUUUUUGGUUGGGUUCCUCGCAGUUUACUGGGCCAGCAUCGGUUUGGAUGGUAGGAUAAUGACAUUGGAAUGUAGCUUUACUUCGGUGAAGUGUUAUAGACUUUGUUGAUACUGCCUAUCUAGACCGAGGACUGCGUCUUUGACUAGGAUGCUGGCGUAAUGAUCUUAAGCCGCCCGUCUUG
rnacentral:rRNA from 1 species